UACAGAGGGGGCAAGCGUUAUUCGGAAUUAUUGGGCGUAAAGGGCGCGUAGGCGGCCUGGCAAGUGGAAGGUGAAAUCCCUCGGCUUAACCGAGGAACUGCCUCCCAAACUGCUUGGCUUGAGACCGGGAGAGGUGAGUGGAAUUCCCAGUGUAGCGGUGAAAUGCGUAGAUAUCUGGAGGAAUACCGGUGGCGAAGGCGGCAUCCUGGACCGACAUUGACGCUGAACGGCGAAAGCUAGGGGAGCAAACGGG
rnacentral:rRNA from 1 species